CCUACGGGGGGCUGCAGUGGGGAAUAUUGCACAAUGGGCGCAAGCCUGAUGCAGCCAUGCCGCGUGUGUGAAGAAGGCCUUCGGGUUGUAAAGCACUUUCAGCGGGGAGGAAGGCGGUGAGGUUAAUAACCUCAUCGAUUGACGUUACCCGCAGAAGAAGCACCGGCUAACUCCGUGCUAGCAGCCGCGGUAAUACGGAGGGUGCAAGCGUUAAUCGGAAUUACUGGGCGUAAAGCGCACGCAGGCGGUCUGUCAAGUCGGAUGUGAAAUCCCCGGGCUCAACCUGGGAACUGCAUUCGAAACUGGCAGGCUAGAGUCUUGUAGAGGGGGGUAGAAUUCCAGGUGUAGCGGUGAAAUGCGUAGAGAUCUGGAGGAAUACCGGUGGCGAAGGCGGCCCCCUGGACAAAGACUGACGCUCAGGUGCGAAAGCGUGGGGAGCAAACAGGAUUAGAUACCCUAGUAGUC
rnacentral:rRNA from 1 species